rnacentral:rRNA from 1 species
AACUCUGAGCGGCGGGUCACUUGGCUCGUGAGUGGAUGAAAGACAGAACAAACGUCGCGUCGUCAAGUGUACUGCUGGAAACAUGAACAUCAACAUUUUGAACGAAAACAUGGUUUUGUUGCUUCUAGAAAGCAACUGUCAUACAGUUCUU